rnacentral:rRNA from 1 species
AGCAGCCGCGGUAAUUCCAGCUCCAAUAGCGUAUAUUAAAGUUGUUGCAGUUAAAAAGCUCGUAGUUGAAUUUCGGAGUUUGUCGGUUGGUCGGGCUUUAUUGUCCGCACUGACCUGAUAGAUUCCUACCUUCUGAAUAACCAGCAUGCUAUUAAUUUAGUGCGUUGGGGAAGCAGAGCUAUUACCUUGAAAAAUUAGAGUGCUUAAAGCAGGCUUAUGCUUGAAUAGAUUAGCAUGGAAUAAUAAAAUAGGACGGCUUGGUUCUAUUUUGUUGGUUUCUAGGAUCACCGUAAUGAUUAAUAGGGAUAGUUGGGGGCAUUAGUAUUCAAUUGUCAGAGGUGAAAUUCUUGGAUUUAUUGAAGACUAACUUCUGCGAAAGCAUUUGCCAAGGAUGUUUUCAUUAAUCAAGAACGAAAGUUAGGGGAUCGAAGACGAUCAGAUACCGUCGUAGUCUUAACCAUAAACUAUGCCGACUAGGGAUCGGACGAUGUUAAUUUUUAAUGACUCGUUCGCGCCUUAA